rnacentral:rRNA from 1 species
AUAUGCAAGUCGAGCGGACAGAAGGGAGCUUGCUCCCGGAUGUUAGCGGCGGACGGGUGAGUAACACGUGGGUAACCUGCCUGUAAGACUGGGAUAACUCCGGGAAACCGGAGCUAAUACCGGAUAGUUCCUUGAACCGCAUGGUUCAAGGAUGAAAGACGGUUUCGGCUGUCACUUACAGAUGGACCCGCGGCGCAUUAGCUAGUUGGUGGGGUAAUGGCUCACCAAGGCGACGAUGCGUAGCCGACCUGAGAGGGUGAUCGGCCACACUGGGACUGAGACACGGCCCAGACUCCUACGGGAGGCAGCAGUAGGGAAUCUUCCGCAAUGGACGAAAGUCUGACGGAGCAACGCCGCGUGAGUGAUGAAGGUUUUCGGAUCGUAAAGCUCUGUUGUUAGGGAAGAACAAGUGCGAGAGUAACUGCUCGCACCUUGACGGUACCUAACCAGAAAGCCACGGCUAACUACGUGCCAGCAGCCGCGGUAAUACGUAGGUGGCAAGCGUUGUCCGGAAUUAUUGGGCGUAAAGGGCUCGCAGGCGGUUUCUUAAGUCUGAUGUGAAAGCCCCCGGCUCAACCGGGGAGGGUCAUUGGAAACUGGGAAACUUGAGUGCAGAAGAGGAGAGUGGAAUUCCACGUGUAGCGGUGAAAUGCGUAGAGAUGUGGAGGAACACCAGUGGCGAAGGCGACUCUCUGGUCUGUAACUGACGCUGAGGAGCGAAAGCGUGGGGAGCGAACAGGAUUAGAUACCCUGGUAGUCCACGCCGUAAACGAUGAGUGCUAAGUGUUAGGGGGUUUCCGCCCCUUAGUGCUGCAGCUAACGCAUUAAGCACUCCGCCUGGGGAGUACGGUCGCAAGACUGAAACUCAAAGGAAUUGACGGGGGCCCGCACAAGCGGUGGAGCAUGUGGUUUAAUUCGAAGCAACGCGAAGAACCUUACCAGGUCUUGACAUCCUCUGACAACCCUAGAGAUAGGGCUUUCCCUUCGGGGACAGAGUGACAGGUGGUGCAUGGUUGUCGUCAGCUCGUGUCGUGAGAUGUUGGGUUAAGUCCCGCAACGAGCGCAACCCUUGAUCUUAGUUGCCAGCAUUUAGUUGGGCACUCUAAGGUGACUGCCGUGACAACCGGAGGAAGGUGGGGAUGACGUCAAUCAUCUGCCCCU